rnacentral:tRNA from 1 species
GAUACGUGUAGUGGUCAUCACGUCUGUCUAGCACAGAACGUCCCCAGUUCGAACCUGGGCGGAAAC